rnacentral:rRNA from 1 species
AUACGGAGGGUGCAAACGUUGCUCGGAAUCAUUGGGCGUAAAGCGCACGUAGGCGGUUCGGUAAGUCGGAUGUGAAAGCCCUAGGCUUAACCAAGGAAGUGCAUUCGAAACUGCCAAACUUGAGUAUGGGAGAGGGUUGCGGAAUUCUCGGUGAAGAGGUGAAAUUCGUAGAUAUCGGGAGGAACACCAGUGGCGAAGGCGGCAACCUGGACCAAUACUGACGCUGAGGUGCGAAAGCGUGGGGAGCAAACAGGAUUAGAUACCCCUGUAGUCC